GCAGAAGCUGGCACCCUCACAGGACGGCCAACAGGAGGGAAACCGCAGAUCUGGAAAAAGGGAAACACAAGAAGAUGUCUCAACUAGCCUGUCACGGUUGAGAAACAUGGAAUGAAGUUGACUCACGUCAGUGGUCUCUGCCAAGGCUAUCCUGGAUCAGCCUAGACUAGUCAGGCCGUGAGAUAGAAGUCUAUUGACUGCAGGGCAAGGGAACAGCAGGCAGG